UACGUAGGGGGCAAGCGUUGUCCGGAUUUAUUGGGCGUAAAGAGCGUGUAGGCGGCUGGGUAGGUCCGUUGUGAAAACUCGAGGCUCAACCUCGAGACGCCGAUGGAAACCCUCCAGCUAGAGUCCGGAAGAGGAGAGUGGAAUUCCUGGUGUAGCGGUGAAAUGCUUAGAGAUUACAUGGAAUACCAAUUGCGAAGGCAGGUUACUACUAAUGGAUUGACGCUGAUGGACGAAAGCGUGGGUAGCGAACAGG
rnacentral:rRNA from 1 species